CCUACGGGAGGCAGCAGUCGGGAAUAUUGCGCAAUGGAGGAAACUCUGACGCAGUGACGCCGCGUGCAGGAAGAAGGUUUUCGGAUUGUAAACUGCUUUAUACAGGGCAGAAAAGAGACAGUACCUGUAGCAUAAGCUCCGGCUAACUACGUGCCAGGAGGCGCGGUAAUACGUAGGGAGCAAGCGUGCUCCGGAUUUAUUGGGUGUAAAGGGGGCGUAGAGGGAGAAGCAAGUUAGUUGUGAAAUCCCUAGGCUUAACUGAGGAACUGCAACUAAAACUACUUCCCUUGAGUACUGGAGAGGAAAGUGGAAUUCCUGGUGUAGCGGUGAAAUGCGUAGAUAUUAGGAGGAACACCAGUGGCGAAGGCGACUUGCUGGACAGUAACUGACGUUGAGGCACGAAAGUGUGGGGAUCAAACAGGAUUAGAUACCCCAGUAGUC
rnacentral:rRNA from 1 species